GGAGGUUCACUUAACCACUCAUGGCCAAAGAUUAUUUAACUGUGCCUACAUAAUGAAGCUCCCUAAAAACCCCUCCAGCACAAGAGGCACACAGACUUUCAAUAAUUGUGAUUUUAGCAAGUGUGAUGUUCGUCUUUGCAAUAGCCACAGAAGGCAAAUGGGUGAAUAGUUGAAAAUACUGAAAGGUGAGACCAAGAAGCAGGUGUAUUUCUUACAGCAUUCUACAGUGUUCUUUGCAUCUGUCCAAGUUUUUGAUUCAACUUGACAGGAACUAAAUAUGCUUAAUUCCUGUGAGGAAUAAAGUUCUU